CCUCGUCUAUGAGUGAUGAAGAAUGGAAGGUUCUUGAUCGGAAAUGAUUGUCAGUAAUAACACUACAAGAAAGGAUGCAUCGAUUCAUGUUGAUAAUUUUUGAGAUCCGCCGCUUUACCGGAUAAAGAGUCUCUUCACCCACGGUCCUUGUCCUUGUCGCCGGGAAGUUCGGGGAAGCCGGGUUGGCACUCCUUUGUGAGUUCUCGAACGUCGAUUGCCCUAGCCCAAAACUCUCACUAUAAAAAGAUGCUCAUUCAGCGUUCUCAAAAACCUAGCCGCUGACAGAGCUCCGACAAAAUGGGCAUUAUCUCGUCGGCGAUGGCCAUAGCAAGAGGGUAAAGCGCACGGCUCACAGGUCUGACGAUGUUUAUCUCAAGCUUCUUGUUAAGUUCUUGUGCGGAGGACGGGGAGUAAGUUCAAUGCCGUUAUGUUCAAGAGGCUUUUCAUGAGCAAGACUAAUCGGCCGCAUAUCUCAUUUUAAUGACAACAUCGUGGUGAAUGUGGGGACUAUGACGGAUGAUAAGAGGGUUUACGAGGUGCCGGCGAUGAAGGUGACAGCGCUGAGGUUCACGGAGACAGCGAAGGCUAGGAUCUUGAAAGCCGGCGAGGCGAGGGCCAACAUCCAUGUUUCGGCAGCGACGGAGCAUGGAUGUCUCGCCGUCAACGCGCCCACGGCAAACACCAUCAUUGCAAACGAGCACGGCAUCGCUCUUCUCACUUCCAUGGCUCGCAACGUUACUCAGGCUGACGCUAGCAUGAAAGCCAGAUUCCAAGUGGGCCAUUCUUUGGGAGGAUCUUAGGCACUGUGUCUGGCAUGGGUACCCUUCUCAUCUCUAAGAUAAGAGAGGAGUACCUUGAUUGGAUGAUGCUGACAUUCUUCUAUCCUUCCAUCAUCAAAGAUGUCCGACACUGUUGUGGAACCAUACAAUGUAACUCUCUCUAUUUAUCAACUUGUUGAGAAUGCUGAUGAGUGCAUGUUCCUUGACAAUUAAGCUCUCUAUGAUAUUUGCUUUCGGACCCUCAAGCUUGCAACUCCAACUUGUGGUGUGAGUGGUUUGAAUGUGAAGAUAACAUUUGGUCUGAUUGCCAAUCAACUCAAUGUCUAGAGUGGAGCUCUUGUUCUGCAGGUUGUUGGCAACAAUUUAGCAAUUAAAGCAGUCUUCUGACAACCAGAAGCUUAGCUGGAAACAUAGUUCUUGGAGAUAUUAUUGUUGCUGUUGAUGGGAAACUAGUAAGCGACCUCUCAUAGAGUACAACUUUAAACUACACUCUAUUUAAGUCCAAAUUACAUUUCAUUGAGCAUGUUAAAAGUAAAGCCUCUGGUUUUGGAGCUAUAGUGUCAGUAAAAAAUUGCACUGUAGAUUAGAUUAGAAGUAAGUUUGAGUUACUAUAAUGUCGGUGAGAAAGAUUGUACUGUAGAUCCAGAGUGGUAGCAAAAUUUUGGUUCCUUUGGUUUUGGAGAAGACCAGCUUAUGAUGAACAACAUCGUGAUAAUCCUAUUCUAUGCAUGGGUUUUCAAGUUUCUUAGUAUUUGUUUUGAUUAAUUUUCCUACAAGGUGAACGAUCAGGAAACAAAAUGUACAUAAAGGAGUCCAGUGAAUGUAUAGAUCAACAUGCACAACAACUUCGAUGUCAGGUGGUUCUUAUAAUGUCAAGUUCUUGUGUUACCCUUCCUGUUUUUUUGUGAGGACCUAAUUAGCCAAUAAGUACGAUGUAGGAGUAAUGCUUUCUUGCUUGGCAAUGGAGAUCAUUGUGCUUGUCAAGUAUUUCUCUUAGGCAUGGACACUCUGUUUUCUCUUUUGAUACAAAAUAAAGUUGCAGAAAUUAUGACAAGGAAAGUGUUCUUGAAAAUUUGGAAGCCACAUGAAAUUUUGACUCAUGUUCAAAAUUUUGUAUAUUGAGCAUCAAUGUAUUUUAAUACCAAUUGUCUUAUUUAAGUUGAAGUUUGU